CCAGCAGCCGCGGUAAUUCCAGCUCCAAUAGCGUAUAUUAAAGUUGUUGCAGUUAAAAAGCUCGUAGUUGGAUUUCUGGGCGGAGCGGCGGGCGGACGCCCUCGUGGCGGUCCUGCUUCUGCUGCGUCUCCGCCCAUCCUCGCGGGGAUGGUGGCUGGCAUUCGCUUGUCGGCCUCCGGAUCCGCGUCGUUUACUGUGAAAAAAUUAGAGUGUUUAAGGCAGGCGUUUCUGCUGUGAAUACACCAGCAUGGAAUAAUAAGAUAGGACUUUGGUGCUAUUUUGUUGGUUUGCGUACCAAGGUAAUGGUUAACAGGGACAGUUGGGGGUACUCAUAUUUGAUUGUCAGAGGUGAAAUUCUUGGAUUUAUCAAAGAUGAACCAGUGCGAAAGC
rnacentral:rRNA from 1 species